GCAUGGCUCCAUCGGUAGAGCAUGAGACUCUGAAUCUCAGGGUCAUGGGUUUGGGCAAAACAUUCCUGCAUUGCAGCG